rnacentral:misc_RNA from 1 species
GAUGAAGAACGCAGCGAAAUGCGAUACGUAGUGUGAAUUGCAGAAUUCAGUGAAUCAUCGAAUCUUUGAACGCACAUUGCACCUCUCGGUAUUCCGGGAGGUAUGCCUGUUCGAGCGUCAUUUGUACCCUCAAGCUCUGCUUGGUGUUGGGUGUUUGUUCCGCCUCUGUGUGUGAACUCGCCUCAAAACAAUUGGCAGCCGGCGUACUUGUUUCGGAGCGCAGCACAUUUUGCGAUCCAGAUCAACGUACAGCGGCAUCCAAGAAGCCUUAUUUAACGCUCUUGACCUCGGAUCAGGUAGGGAUACCCGCUGAACUUAAGCAUAUCAAUAGGCGGAGGA